rnacentral:rRNA from 1 species
GUGGGGAAUAUUGGACAAUGGGCGAAAGCCUGAUCCAGCCAUGCCGCGUGUGUGAAGAAGGUCUUCGGAUUGUAAAGCACUUUAAGUUGGGAGGAAGGGCAGUAAGUUAAUACCUUGCUGUUUUGACGUUACCGACAGAAUAAGCACCGGCUAACUUCGUGCCAGCAGCCGCGGUAAUACGAAGGGUGCAAGCGUUAAUCGGAAUUACUGGGCGUAAAGCGCGCGUAGGUGGUUUUGUAAGUUGAAGGUGAAAUCCCCGGGCUCAACCUGGGAACUGCCUCCAAAACUGCAUGACUAGAGUACGGUAGAGGGUAGUGGAAUUUCCUGUGUAGCGGUGAAAUGCGUAGAUAUAGGAAGGAACACCAGUGGCGAAGGCGACUACCUGGACUGAUACUGACACUGAGGUGCGAAAGCGUGGGGAGCAAACAGGAUUAGAAACCCUGGUAGUCC